GGAGGGGUUCCCGAGUGGUCAAAGGGAUCAGACUGUAAAUCUGACGCGUAAGCUUCGGUGGUUCAAAUCCACCUCCCUCCACCA
rnacentral:tRNA from 1 species